GAUGAAGAACGCAGCGAAAUGCGAUAAGUAAUGUGAAUUGCAGAAUUCAGUGAAUCAUCGAAUCUUUGAACGCACAUUGCGCCUCUUGGUAUUCCGGGGGGCAUGCCUGUUCGAGCGUCAUUUCAACCCUCAAGCUCAGCUUGGUAUUGAGUCCAUGUCAGUAAUGGCAGGCUCUAAAAUCAGUGGCGGCGCCGCUGGGUCCUGAACGUAGUAAUAUCUCUCGUUACAGGUUCUCGGUGUGCUUCUGCCAAAACCCAAAUUUUCUAUGGUUGACCUCGGAUCAGGUAGGGAUACCCGCUGAACUUAAGCAUAUCAAUAAGCGGAGGA
rnacentral:misc_RNA from 1 species